rnacentral:lncRNA from 1 species
CUUCUGAGAAUGUCUUGCCACUUGGUGUCUGUGGAAACAUGAAGUCUCUCUAACUUAUUUUCCCUGUUCUAAUUAUUGUUCAAGAACUGACAGCUGAGUGCAAAGCAUGAAAUCUGGAGUCCUUUUGAUAUCUCUCUCUCUGUGUUUGAAGGGCAUCUUCAUGGGCGGAGCUCUCCCAGUACAAUCAGGUGGCCAUGUUCCAUGCGAGCCAUUUCUUGUGACUGAAGGAGGCAGGAAACUUUUGGAAGGAGAGACUCAUUACAAGGCACAAUCUUAUUAUAAACCUACCAAAACAGUAAUUAGCCUGUAUAUUUCCAAGAAACUCUUUAAAGAGCUGAAGACAACAAAUAACAUCUCCAACCAACAGAAUGGAAUUCUGAAGCAAAACAACUUCCUUUCACUCUAAUGAGCAUUUGAGACCCCCUCCCGUUCCAGACCUUUCUCUUCUCCGGUGCAGUUUUUUUUUAAAUUCUUCAUUUAGUAAAAAUAACUUUUUUUAAAACACUUUACCAUUUUGUGAUGUUUCUCAGUUUUUGUAAUUGUAAGUUUUUGCAAAUAUUCUUAAUGAACUCGGGGUUUGAUCCAGCUCCCACUACAAUCCUGUUAAGAUUCUC